GUGAAGGAAGGUGAAUCCUUGUGUUCAAUCUGACAUCUUGAAUUGGACCAACCCAGAUCCUAAGCCAUUAUCUAUAUGCUAUAGAAAAGCUUGCUAGGUUUGUUCUAACUAUUCUAGAAAGGGAGAUACUAAAUCUAGCAAAACAUACUAAAGAACCACGAUAACCAUAGUUGGACACAAUGUCCGUAAGUACUCUCCAUCUUUUUUUGCUUUGAUUCCAUGUUCAUGAGAAAUCUUCUCACUAUAUAAAACACAACAUGCCCAAGAUAAAAUUCAUAAUCUAACACCCAAACUAGGUUCUCUUACAGUGUUCACCAUCUUAGUAAGUGAUACCUCAUUCUUUCAAUCACUCAUGUCAGAAACAUAGGAGUCAUUCUAACAUCUUCUUCCUCCUUACCCCAUAUCUACCCAUCACCAAGUCCUGCCUAUAAACAUUUAUGACAUGAGUCCAUUUCUUUCCAUCUCAUUUGUGAAGACCCCAAUUCAAGUUACCAUACGUCUCACUCACAUUUCCACAGUCUCCUCCUAACUGAACUCUCUGCAACCAGCCCAGCCCCUCUCUAUCCGUUUCCCACACUGCAGUCAGUCAUAGUCACCUUGGCAAAAGACAGGUCAGAUCAUGUUCUGAAGAAUCUGCUUAAAAUCUUCAGUGAUUUCCCAAUACUCUUGAGAUAAGAACAGCAAUCCUUAGCAAGGUCUGUAAGGGCCUGCAGGGACUGGCCUGUCUCCUCUGGCCUCAUCCUAGUGGGACUCUUCUCCUGGCUGUUAGCUCCCCAGCCACGUUGCCUUUCUUUCUGAUCCUCUUUUUUCUGAUGCUCUGUGCUCUCACCAGCCCCCUGGGCCCCUUCAGGCAAAACAGCUCCCUACUACAGCCGCUCUUCCUAGUCUAACCAUCCCUUCACAUGGCCCUAGGUUCUCACCUACUCAUUUCUUCAGUCUCAGUUCUAGAAUUUCUUCCUCAGGGAAACCUGGUUAAGUCAGGCUUCUAUUUAACACAGUCACACAGAAGCAUGCUUCAUUUCUUUAUAGCACUUAUCUUACUUACUAAUUAGGCCCUCAUUUUUUUAUGGCUAUUUUAUUAAUAUCUGCCUCUCCUGCCAGAUUGUAAGCACCAUAAGAGCAAGGAGCAUGUCUGUUACUUUUCAUCACUAUAUUCUCAGGAUUUGGCUAAUUGCUGACUCUUCUUUGUUGGUUUUUUUAAAAAAAAGUAAUGUGUAUCUUGGCUGACAUCUUCCUCAAAUUAAGAAGAAUUUCAGUAUACUGAGUAUCAUAGACUGUGUCCUUUAGAGAUUCAAGGUCAUCAUCAUAAAAACACAUGGUGUAAUAUAGACACUUUCUUAGUUUUUUUUUGAGUGUAUAGGGAUAUCAACCAUGAUGUUAAAUAGCCUCAGACGGAUUGUCCAGAGAAGCAGUCAAAUUUGAAGUUUUCAAAAGGGAAUUUUAAUUUUUUAAUGCUUAGCAAAUGACUAAUAGAUUGCUUCCAUUACCACCUUCAAAUAUAGAAAGCAUUUGAUAACAAUUAUUGAUUACUAUAGCCAUCAUUAAACACUUAGCAUGUACCGGUAGUAAUCAGAAACUUUAAACACAUUAUCUCAUUUAAUCCUCACAGCAACUCUCUGUUAUUUUACCAGGCAGGUUAACAAAGAGGUUAAGAAGCUGUGGAUCUAAGGCAAUCUAGCUCUGGAGCCUGUAGGUUCAAUCCAUUUAAUAAGAAAGGUGAUGAGCAGUUCAAGAGGCCAGAAACUUGACCAAGGACACAUCUAAAAUGUGGGAGAGCCAUUUAGAGGUAUCAAACAUUGAAAUAAGCUGAUUUUUUAAAAUAAAUAGGUUUUACGUCUAUUCUGAUUACCUUUGAAAACUAGAGUGGACAGGAAUACAGCCUAGAAGGGUCGGUGGUAACCCUGACACGUAUUUAAGAGCAGGACUUGGACCUGAUGACCUUCUGAGGUCCCCUCUAGCUCUCCAGCUCCAAAAGGCUAUUGGUGCUGAGUUAUCUUUUGUCUUCAGCCUUUUCCCUGGUUGAAUUUUGCCUAAUCUAGUCAACUUGUAUUAUCCCAGGGUGGCUUAUCCAGAGCAAAUCUUGCUUUAUUGAGUUCAGUAGUCACUUUGCUUAAUGACUUGCUGUGUUAACAACUUGGCAUGUGCUUCAUCCACAGUCAGCACCUACUCAGUUUAAUUACUUGCUUUGUUGAUGCUAUACUGUCUUCAGGGAAAUACUUUGAAAUGCAAAACUUAACCAACUCCUGUAGUACCACCCCACCUCCCAAAAUGAGAUCAUAAAAUAUACCAAAGCGGAAGAAAGAGGAGAAGAAUUUAAAGAAAUAGACAUGAUUGUCAUGGGGAAUUUGAUGAGGUCAACAUGAAAAAAAGGCAAUAUGACAAUAAAUCAGAACAGCAAAAGUCUCUAAGAAUAGUAUUAGGAAGACUAAAUCAUUUUUUAAAAUGAUCUUGAGGUUUGCUAAAAAGAAGCUAAGGAUACCUUGCAGAAAUAGUGUGUGUUUGUGUGUAUUUUUUUGCUGUCUCCACAGCAUGCAGAAGUUCCCAGGCCAGGGAUCGAACCCAAGACAUAGCAGUGACAAUGCUGAUCCUUAACCGCUAGACCACCAGGGAACUCCAGAAAUAGAGUAUAUUUUUAAACACCAAGAGACCCCAACUUUUUGGGGAAAAUGGUCUAUGAGAUGACAGCUGAUGUGUAAAGGAAAGCAUGCUAGAAUCAAGUCCUUGCCUCUCUUCCCUGCACCCUGCAUAGAGCCGCCCUGAUCCAGAAAAGCCUUUAUUCUCCAAUCCUCACAAAGGGAAGUCCCAUCCCAUUGCCUUUAACAGGUGCUAUGCAGCAGGAUUCAGACAAAUGGCUCACACUUGCUUGGGGGGGAAUACUUGUCUAAAGGUUUUCAGACCUUAAACUCUGUGUGCUCAACUUCGCCAAAUGCCAUAUGUCUGCUUGUCUUAUCUAAAAAAAACCCUAGUCCUCUACUGAAUUGUUAGAAGAUGGAAAAUAGAGGAUGAGUUAUUUAUCUGUUCGGACUCUAAGCAAGUUCUCUGCAGGGCUGUCUUUGGCUUAGAUAACUAUUUUUUAAAAAAUCCCACAGUAGGGAGUUUAAUUUGGUUUGUGGAAUUUGAGAUCAAAAGGUCAGGGGUACCUCUGUGCAGCAGCCUACCCAUGGGAUUCUGUAAUGUUUUAAUAGAAUAGAGAGCAUUAUAUAUACACGUUAGCAGUUUUGAUAAUCUUCACAGUGCCAGUGGCCCCAAAUGGCCAGCGACUCCUGUACAUUAAGAUUAUUGACACUAUCAUUCCUCAAUUACUCUAAAGCUCUAAAUUUAUAAGGUUUAUCAUGUUUGGAAUUAUGAAUUCAAUGUCCAUUUCAUCCCUAGGUUCACUGCAGGCUUUGUCUGCCCAACUUUAAAUGGUGUCCUGGGAAGUGUAUGAUGCAAUACCCAGCUCCUUCCAUUUUAUAUCCUAACCCCUUCCCCAGACCAGAAUCUUUUUUUUUUUUUUUUUUUUGACGCUAAGGGGAUUAUGACUAUCUUUUCUCUGUUGCAUUACCAAUACUUAGCGGAUGAACAAAAAAUAAAUUCAUAGCUUGGGUGUAUUUUCUUAUUUUUUUCUCACUUAAUCUGUGUAUUCCCAAAUCUGGCUGUACUUCAGGAUCACCUUGGGAGCUUCUGUAAAAACAAGGAUUGGUCCCUAUCUCCAAGCAUUCCAAACAGUUUACAUAACUCUUGCAAGUGGCUAUGAUAUGCCUCUAGGUUUAAGAAGAAAGGGUUUAACCUCACUUUCCUUGUCUGGGAAGCAACUAGACCUGCUGCCUCACUGGAUAUCAUUAAGAUCAAAUAUGAUAAACUACCAGGUAGUCUAGCAAAGAGAGGAUUAUAUGUGACUUUGUAAGGUAAGGCAAGAAUGGAGGUUGACCAGAAGUUCCUGCAUGGCGCAGUGGUUAAUGAAUCUGACUAGGAACCAUGAGGUUGCAGGUUCGAUGCCUGGCCUUGCUCAGUGGGUUAAGGAUCCGGCGUUGCCGUGAGCUGUGGUGCAGGUUGCAGACGUGGCUUGGAUCCCAUGUUGCUGUGGCUCUGGUGUAGGCCAGUGGCUACAGCUCCGAAUCGACCCCUAGCCUGGGAACCUCCAUAUGCUGCGGGAGCGGCCCUAGAAAAA
rnacentral:lncRNA from 1 species